rnacentral:rRNA from 1 species
UACGGAGGGAGCUAGCGUUGUUCGGAAUUACUGGGCGUAAAGCGCACGUAGGCGGCUUUGUAAGUUAGAGGUGAAAGCCCGGGGCUCAACUCCGGAAUUGCCUUUAAGACUGCAUCGCUUGAACAUCGGAGAGGUAAGUGGAAUUCCGAGUGUAGAGGUGAAAUUCGUAGAUAUUCGGAAGAACACCAGUGGCGAAGGCGACUUACUGGACUGGUAUUGACGCUGAGGUGCGAAAGCGUGGGGAGCAAACAGG